CCAGAUACCAAGAGUUAUAGGAGUAUUUUUGUAGAUGCAAAAGUGCUGGUGUACAUAAAAAAGAAGGAUGUGGUACGUGUGUGUAAUUACAGCUUCCAGACCCAGACUGAUCAUCAGUCUGGGUCUCCUCUGUGGCAAGGACACUAAACACGAUCAUUUCAAAUGCCUGGACUAAACUUCUCGCUGUAAUUAUUCUUGGUUGCACAGACAUGUUCAAUGUUCAGUGUCUCCCUUUCAGAUCAGUGUUUGCCUCCCUCUAGCUGAGGCACGCCUCACUGCAGAGACAUUACACAUUUUUGUACACCAAAAUAUAUUAGACAUUACCUCGGUAACCAUAGGGGAGCGAGCCCCCUUUCAUUU